AAAAUUGAUGUUUUUAAAUAUUUAUUUCUGUAUUUUUGUUGCUGCUGAAUUGCAUAAAGUUUAAUUUAUGUUUUAAAUACUUUUUGCAGCCAUGAUUCUGUUGUGUGUACUUUGUGAGAAGAUUAUGUUGAUGAAUUUCUAAGUCAAAUUGAUCCAAAUGUCAAACAAAUUCCAGUAGUGCUAAUUCAAUUUUGCAGGCCAAUCUCAUACCAGGGGGAGGUAAGAAUCUCUACUUCUUACAAAGACACUCCGGAAAUGAAUGAGUUCAGACAGAGAAUUUUUGGAAACAUUCGAUUCUUCGAAACUGCAAACAUAACUUUCAACCAUGAAUCCAAGAGGAUGGUUGAUGAGACUGAAAAUCUGGAGGUGAAAUCUAUUGAAGAGGUGUUUUGCUUGGAGG